rnacentral:rRNA from 1 species
GACGAACGCUGGCGGCGUGCUUAACACAUGCAAGUCGAACGAAGUGGCGAACGGGUGAGUAACGCGUAAUCAACCUGCCCGUCAGAGGGGGACAACAGUGGGAAACGACUGCUAAUACCGCAUACUGAAGGAGGGGAUUGAGUCUGAUUAGCUAGUUGGCGGGGUAACGGCCCACCAAGGCGAUGAUCAGGAGCCUGUCUGGGGGGAUGAACGUCCACAUUGGGACUGAGGCACGGCCCAGACUCCUACCGGAGGCAGCAGUGGGGAAUCUUUCGCAAUUGGCGGAAGUCUGACGGCGCAACUCCGCGUGAGUGAUGACGGCCUUCGGGUUGUAAAGCUCUGUUAAUCUGGACGCGGUACCGACAUAGAAAGCCACGGCUAACUACGUGCCAGCAGCCGCGGUAAUUC